rnacentral:rRNA from 1 species
AUUGAACGCUGGCGGAAUGCUUUACACAUGCAAGUCGAACGGCAGCACGGACUUCGGUCUGGUGGCGAGUGGCGAACGGGUGAGUAAUGUAUCGGAACGUGCCCAGUCGUGGGGGAUAACGUAGUGAAAAUUACGCUAAUACCGCAUACGAUCUAUGGAUGAAAGCGGGGGAUCGCAAGACCUCGCGCGAUUGGAGCGGCCGAUAUCAGAUUAGGUAGUUGGUGGGGUAAAGGCGCACCAAGCCAACGAUCUGUAGCUGGUCUGAGAGGACGACCAGCCACACUGGAACUGAGACACGGUCCAGACUCCUACGGGAGGCAGCAGUGGGGAAUUUUGGACAAUGGGCGAAAGCCUGAUUCAGCCAUUCCGCGUGCAGGAUGAAGGCCCUCGGGUUGUAAACUGCUUUUGUACAGAACGAAAAGGUUUCUACUAAUACUAGGAGCUCAUGACGGUACUGUAAGAAUAAGCACCGGCUAACUACGUGCCAGCCGCCGCUGUAA